UUGCUAACCAUUUUCUAUGUUCGUCUGUGUACAGUGUUGUAACUCCUUACUAGUAAUAAUAUUACAGAAAUAUAAUUACUUUCCCCACUAACUAGUAGUCUUAUACUACUUAUUUUUCAGCAAUAAUAUUACAGUUAGCCCACCCAAAGAAAAUAAUUAUUUACACUACAAGUUAUUUUACUUUUCUGCUACUCCCCACAAAACUGGUAAUUGUGUCCUUUACAAUUUUGUUUGUUAAAAGUAAUGGAAAUAUUUAUUGUGAAUUGUGAAUUGAAUAUUUUCAGCUGCAGAAUGUAAGCUACUUAUCUCCAAUUAUUAUUAUACUGUCGGUCUCUCUUUCUCUCUCUCUGUCUGUCUCUCUGUCUCUCUCUCUCUCUCUCUCUCUCUCUCUCUCACCCCAACUGGUCGAGACAGACGACCACCCACCUAGGGCCGAAGGAUCUGUCCUAGGUUUCUGCCUUUUAACAGGCAGUUUUUCCUUGCCCUUGUCGCCAAGUGCUUGUUCAUGGUGGUACUGUUGGGUCUCUGUAAAUGUUAUAAAGAGUUCGGUCUAGACCUGCUCUAUUUGAAAAGUGUCCUGAGAUAACUUCUGUUAUGAAUUGGUGCUAUACAAAUAAAAUUGAAUUGAAUUGAAUUGAAUACUAGUAAUGCCUUGCUGCCCAACACUGUUUGUGCUUGUACCAAAAUUACAGUUAAACUGUGAUUCUAAAAUGGAGGUCCAAGAGGUGCAGUCAUAUUUAUAUAUAGAAUUUCAAUAAAUUCCUUCUCAAGAAUCCGCAAAAGAUUUGACAGAUUUAUACACAUUUUAAUGUUUCAUGUAAAUAUGCAAAAUCUAAAAAUUAAAAGUAAAAACUAUACAAGCAGCAGCUUGUUGUUGGUGGUGAAGCCUGCUUUUAAUAAACUGCUGCAGACUAGAGACAUUUUGAGAUCCUCUAUGCUGAUGAUGUUUGUUAAAAACCCUCAGAUGGCGGGCCUGUGCUGGAUGGCUGUAGCGCUGGUCUUGUCGCUGUCUGCUGGAAACAGUUGGGCUGUGGUGGACCAGAACAAACUUGCAAGAAUUGUCAUUGAUAUUGUGAGCAAGUAUAGACCACACUACGAGGUCAACGGUAAAAGAAGAUCACCCAUGUUCAGCCUGGCUCUAAGCGUUCCAUACAACAAAAGAAGCAAAAAGUAUGAUAUCAGUCAAGUCUUUAACACCGACUCUGAAGACGCUGUUAAAACUGACAUUCAAAAAUGUAAAGUGUACGCUGGCAGGAGAGUGGUUGCAGCCACUGUUUUGAAAUGGCCUGAUGUUGUGAAAUGGUGUCCUGAUGAACCUGUGCAAUGGCAGGAUGUUCUGAUGAAAUGUAAUCAAGAGUCUAUGACAUGGGCUGAGCUGAAGAAGAUGCGUCAGGAUAGUAAAACUGAGAAAGAGUGCUGUGAAUCGGUUUGGAAUCGUAGAGCUGAUCAUGCAGAGUACCGUACUCUGCAGCACUUCAACAACUUGGUCAACAAUCAUAACGAAAAUGAUUUGUUGCUUUUCUACGUUCUUGCUUCUCCAUGUCAUGACAAAUGUGCAGCUGAGGGAGUAUCAGGGAAUAUUCUUGAAAGCAUUAAAGAGAUUAAGAAGUGGAAUAAUUAUGCUCUUGUGUUUACGGAUGUGUUCCAGCCCCCUGGUGAAUCGGUACUUGAGGAGAACCGUAAAGCCCUCGAGCGGCUUGGGCAAUCAGUUGGUCUGAGCAACAUAUUUCGUUGCAAUAUAAAUACACCUGAGUGCACAAGCUGCUCUGUUGAAAAUCAAGUUGCCCGAUAUUGUUUUGCAGAUGAGCCUGGUCCCAGCAACAACUUGCCAUCCACUUCACAAAGCAACAAUAUUAAUCCAAGCACAGGGGUGUCCACAAAUGUUGACAGUAAUACAGGAGGAGGUCAGGGUGGCAGCGGCAGUGGAGGGGGCAAGGGCCACCGAAGGCGUCGCAAGGGCAAGAAAGGGAAAAAUAUUAAUCAAGGUGUCCGUAAUACAGAUGUUGACAGUAGUACAGGAGGUCAGGCUGAUCUUAGUAGACACAAAGCCAGAAAAGUGGGUGGACGCAGAGUAGGAAGAAAACAGGGAGGUGGAGGGAACAAGCAGAAGAGUAAGAAGAAAACACAGACAAACAAAAGGAAGAAAGCGCAGAGCAGAGGGACAACACAAUGGAGCCAGGGGGUAGAGGAAAGGACUAAAAAGCAAAGUCAGAAGAGGCAGAAGAGUAAGCAACCAAAGAGAAGGGAGAACAGGCCCAGGGGUGCAGAAAUGCGGAGGAUUAAUCAACCGCGGAAGACAAGAAAGGACAGCAGAGUUAGCAGGAGGAGAGGAUACGAAGAAUGAGCUUCAAAUCUAUGUAUACAUAAACUGCCAUAAGUCUUUACCAGAGAGUUUCCAGAGAGGGGACAUGAAAUGUACAUAAAAUCUAAUUGGCCACCCCAAGUGCCACCCCAUUCUCCUUACCUCUUCCACUCUGCUUUAAGAGAAUAUAGCAGGCUCUGUUUUAUAGCUUGAUUGAAGAUAUUAGUAUCAUAUGAAACUAGAUGACCUACCGCAUCCACUGCUAUCAACAUGACAUGCUAGCAUCUUGGGCAGGGUGGCAAAUAAUGCUCCAAAGUUUUAAGCGAUGGAAAACCUGGCCAUCGGAUCUCAAGAUAUCUUAAUGAAAAUUCUUUCUAUGGGUACCCACAAUAUUGUAUUUGAAUAUGUCUACAUACUGGGAUCCAUAAACAGUAUUGGAAUUGCAUAAAUUGGGAAUGACAGAAAAACUGAGACACAUAUUUCAUGCCACCCCUGCAUAAGUCAGUGCCUCUCACCCCAGUUUCUUUAUAUGCCUCAUAGUGCCACAUUAGUAGUACAGAAACUAUAUUUCCCAAGAGGUGGAGCUUCUUCCACCAGGGUGAACACAGGUGUUACGCAUACUGCCAAUGAUUAGGACUAAAAUUCAUACAGUACUCGUGUCAUUGUCUACUUCUGUAAAUCCUCUGAUUAUUUUUGUUCUUUGUGAUUAAAGCUUGGCUCAGCAUCCAUUCGGCUCUGUGUGUGUGUGUGUGUGUGUGUGUCAUUUUGCAGCAUCACAAACAUCAUUUCACAGGUUUGAACCCUGUAGUCCAGCAUAUUUUAAAGACCACAC
rnacentral:lncRNA from 15 species